GCAUUUAACCAAAAACCCAUUGAUUUCAGGAUGAUGUAAGCGGAGGCGCUAAUAUGCUAACUUGUUUCCGGGCCCACCAAAAUACAUACAUCACUCUAUUGUGCGAAGGUUAACCUUGGGCCGCAGGUUAAUGCCCGAUGCACAUGACCGGGAGAUUAUCGCGGUGACUUUUGAGGGUUAGUUCUUCGACUAAAACAUCAUAUCUCCGUCUGUUUUUGAAGAGCUUUGUAAAAUGAUGUUAUCAUGCUUUGUGCCUGGUCUCUGAUGGGUUUUCCACAUGCAGAUGGACGUUUGCCUAUUGAAUCCAUGAUUUAAAUAGUCUUGUAUCCAACUGUAGAUGAUUGUGCUUUGUAAUCCAAUGUAAAAGCUUGAAAAGCGAAGGGUGAAAAAGGGCUCGGAUGGGAGUCUUGUCUCCUGUUCUGGUUUAUUUGAAGAGCAUAGAAGAGGAAAUCACCUCUGGCUUGGUGUCUUGUGAGGAAACUUUCUACAUUUACAGUAGGACUCGGACUCGUUCUGUACUUUAUUUAGAUACUAGAAUCGAAAUCUUGGAACAAUCCGAGGAGCAUUCGGGUGCUUCGGUUUCAGCAUCUUGUGUACACGUAUGCGUAGUUUUAACUGUGAAAUGCACUUUAUUUUUUUGAUGCGAAAAGGCACAACAAAUUACUUAUCUGCAAAUAAAACAAUAUUAUAAGAAUUAUAAUCAACAUGCACUAAUUAACAUUGUAAAACAUUGUGUUAAUGUGUUGUAUAUUUUUCCAAGGUGUUGGUUGUAUACUUUUAUUGCUUUGGUUAGUUUAAUGAACUGAGAGAUCUUGUUAAUUUUGUAUUAAAAGAAUGUGCUGUGCAUUAAAAAUA